rnacentral:rRNA from 1 species
ACUCCUACGGGAGGCAGCAGUGGGGAAUUUUACGCAAUGGGGGAAACCCUGACGUAGCGACACCGCGUGAGCGAAGAAGCCCUUUGGGGUGUAAAGCUCUGUCAGCUGGAACGAAAACAAUGACGGUACCAGCAGUAGGAAGCAUCGGCUAACUACGUGCCAGCACCGCGGUAAGACGUAGGAUGCGAGCGUUGUCCGGAUUUAUUGGGCGUAAAGAGUUCGUAGGUGGUUUGUUAAGUUUGGUGUUAAAGAUCGGGGCUCAACCCUGGGACUGCACUGAAUACUGGCAGACUCGAGUGUGGUAGAGGCUAGUGGAAUUUCCAGUGUAGCGGUGAAAUGCGUAGAUAUUGGGAAGAACACCGGUGGCGUAGGCGACUAGCUGGGCCAUAACUGACGCUGAGGAACGAAAGCCAGGGGAGCGAAUGGGAUUAGAUACCCUGGUAGCUACGAGU